rnacentral:rRNA from 1 species
AUUGAACGCUGGCGGCAUGCUUUACACAUGCAAGUCGAACGGUAACAGGCCUUCGGGUGCUGACGAGUGGCGAACGGGUGAGUAAUGCAUCGGAACGUACCCAGAGGUGGGGGAUAACGCAGCGAAAGCUGUGCUAAUACCGCAUGUGAUCUGAGGAUGAAAGCGGGGGACCGAGCAGCAAUGUUUGGCCUCGCGCCUUUGGAGCGGCCGAUGUCGGAUUAGCUAGUUGGUGGGGUAAAGGCCUACCAAGGCGACGAUCCGUAGCUGGUCUGAGAGGACGACCAGCCACACGGGGACUGAGACACGGCCCAGACUCCUACGGGAGGCAGCAGUGGGGAAUUUUGGACAAUGGGCGCAAGCCUGAUCCAGCAAUGCCGCGUGAGGGAAGAAGGCCUUCGGGUUGUAAACCGCUUUUGGCAGGAACGAAACGGUGUCCGCUAAUACCGGGCGCUAAUGACGGUACCUGCAGAAUAAGCACCGGCUAACUACGUG